rnacentral:rRNA from 1 species
CGAACGGGUGAGUAACGCGUGAGGAACCUGCCUCAAAGAGGGGGACAACAGUUGGAAACGACUGCUAAUACCGCAUAAGCCCACGACCCGGCAUCGGGUAGAGGGAAAAGGAGCAAUCCGCUUUGAGAUGGCCUCGCGUCUGAUUAGCUAGUUGGUGAGGUAACGGCCCACCAAGGCGACGAUCGGUAGCCGGACUGAGAGGUUGAACGGCCACAUUGGGACUGAGACACGGCCCAG